UAUAUAAGAUCCUCAUGUGAACUACAGGUUAAUAAAUAAACAAGGCACUCUGAAGGUGAGUGAGUGUGUACAAGACAUGAGCUGUAACUGUAAACCUGCAGUAUAUCACCUCCAUCGCUCCGAGCAGGGCUGUAAACGGCUUCUACUGGAAGGCUCCAUUAGGAGCUGAGUGACAGGAAGUGAUCUAUGCAGAUGGAGCGGACUGAGCGUAUUGACUGCGGCAGAUGUGCUUAGAGUGACGAGACGGAAAGACCAGACUUUGACAACACUGAUGUGUCCAUACACGGAUUCACUGAAAGAGACUAAUUAACCAGGGAGCACCGAGGGCUUUGCAUCUUUGCACCUAGUAUCGACGGGACACGAUGACCACAGUAGCGAAGAAAGGACAAACACUGACAGUGAAGGACGCUUGCUAGCUUCUCCUGACUGUCCCUGACAGGACAUUUUGGAAGAGGAGCGGGUCCAGUCUUAUUCCCUGCACGUCGAGAGCUUUAGCCAGAGGAGACUGGCCUUAUUGUUCCUCCCACACAAUAUCCCAAGGUGUGUGAAGUCCCGCCGGACGGCUGACACAAUCCUCCCCGGCCUGUUCCAUCACCAUCCUGUCACUGACAGACACAUCGCACUGAUGACCCAGACGAGAGCAGCCAUGGAAGCAGGGAAAAUAAUGGAGGACCACCGGCCUUCACACCACUGUUCUCAAAGCACACGCUAAGGACAUGCACAUACUUUUAUGUGGGAGUUCACUGGCUCUGCAGCAUCUCCACGCCUCAGCCGUCAAACAGCUUGCAAGACAUCACAAACGUGACCUUUAGGGAAUACGCUGCAGUGCCGUGGAGUGAAGGAGGAGAAGAGCAGCCACGGGGCUGGAGAAUAACCUUGCUAAGAGCGGUCACGAAGGAAAAACAGCAGCCAGCCAUCACUUCCUGUUCAUCAAUCGCCGGUGAGCGACAGUGGCAGGCAGAAUAC